rnacentral:pre_miRNA from 1 species
AAUAUACUCCCUCCGUUCCGAAUUACUUGUCUUGGAUUUGUCUAGAUACGGAUGUAUCUAGACUCAUUUUAGUGCUAGAUACUUCUGUAUCUAGACAAAUCUAAGACAAGUAAUUCAGAACGGAGGGAGUAUAAA